rnacentral:rRNA from 1 species
ACGGGUGAGUAAUGUCUGGGAAACUGCCUGAUGGAGGGGGAUAACUACUGGAAACGGUAGCUAAUACCGCAUGACCUCGCAAGAGCAAAGUGGGGGACCUUCGGGCCUCACGCCAUCGGAUGUGCCCAGAUGGGAUUAGCUAGUAGGUGGGGUAAUGGCUCACCUAGGCGACGAUCCCUAGCUGGUCUGAGAGGAUGACCAGCCACACUGGAACUGAGACACGGUCCAGACUCCUACGGGAGGCAGCAGUGGGGAAUAUUGCACAAUGGGCGCAAGCCUGAUGCAGCCAUGCCGCGUGUGUGAAGAAGGCCUUAGGGUUGUAAAGCACUUUCAGCGAGGAGGAAGGGUUCAGUGUUAAUAGCACUGUGCAUUGACGUUACUCGCAGAAGAAGCACCGGCUAACUCCGUGCCAGCAGCCGCGGUAAUACGGAGGGUGCAAGCGUUAAUCGGAAUUACUGGGCGUAAAGCGCACGCAGGCGGUUUGUUAAGUCAGAUGUGAAAUCCCCGAGCUUAACUUGGGAACUGCAUUUGAAACUGGCAAGCUAGAGUCUUGUAGAGGGGGGUAGAAUUCCAGGUGUAG